UUUUGAGCCUUUAGGUCCUUCAGAUUAUUUCAGUCUGUGCAACCGGGCAGCCCUCCCAUAUUUCUCCAUUCCAAAACUUAUGGAGGCAGGAUUUGCAAUAAGUGGGUGCUUCCACCAAGCUACCCAGGACCUUUUAUGUCUAUUAUGUUACAUGUGGUUGGAACCGUUUUUCACAGAGAACUCUGGAGUAUGAACACUUGGCUUCCAAGACUUCUGAACAUGCUAUCUAGAAGAGAGAUGGUAUUAAUAUUCUGUCAGUUUACACAGCUUGGAAUAUCACAUUUGUCAACAACUAAGCACACGAGUCCCGCUAGCACAAGCAGACCAUGAUGUCACCUGUCCCUGGGUUGGUCCUCAUGAACUUUGUUCCGAAGGACGUAACGGCAAAUCUUGUUAAGAUUUUUGUCUGUCGUGUGAAGGAAAAAAAAACAAAGAGAGAGAGAGAGAAAAGGAGGAUAAAUUAUGUGGCCAAUCACACAGGUUUAAUAUUAUGGGAUUCUAGGAUAUUAUUUCUGAUCCACUGUUAAGUUUGUGGUUGCUGGUGCUCACGGAUGUAUUUGUACUCAUUUGGUCCAACUUUCCCGGUUUACCGAAAAAAAGAAACAGAGAUAAAAAAUGAAGCUCGUAUUCUUGA